rnacentral:rRNA from 1 species
CGGGGGGAGCAAGCGUUGUUCGGAUUUACUGGGCGUAAAGGGCGCGUAGGCGGCCAGCGCAAGUCAGUUGUGAAAUCUCCGGGCUUAACUCGGAACGGUCAGACGAUACUGCUUUGCUAGAGUGCGGAAGGGGCAAUCGGAAUUCUCGGUGUAGCGGUGAAAUGCGUAGAUAUCGAGAGGAACACCUGAGGUGAAGACGGGUUGCUGGGCCGACACUGACGCUGACAGCGCGAAAGCCAGGGGAGCAAACGGGAUUAGAUACCCCGGUAGUCCUGGCCCUAAACGAUGAAUACUUGGUGUCUGGAGUUAUUAGUGCUCCGGGUGCCGUCGCUAACGUUUUUAGUAUUCCGCCUGGGAAGUACGCUCGCAAGAGUG